ACUACCUUACUUGAACAGGAUCUGUUCUAUAGGCUCGUACCUCUGUAUCCUUGAUUUCUAAGGAGACAGGAAACCACGUCUAGUAGAUGAACCAUGGCUGCCUGGCUAGAGCGUGAUUAAGAGCCCCUUGGGUUGGGUUUCCAGCUCAUUGUGCAGUAGAUGAUCCAUCUUGGCUUGACUCCGGUCCUGUCAAGAUGGCCGGGCAGCUGUCUGACAGACU